rnacentral:rRNA from 1 species
CUACGGGUGGCUGCAGUGAGGAAUUUUGCGCAAUGGGGGAAACCCUGACGCAGCAACGCCGCGUGAGCGAAGAAGGCCCUCGGGUCGUAAAGCUCUGUCAAGUGGGAAAAAAGCCUUUUGAUUAAUACCCAAAAGGUUUGAUGGUACCACUGGAGGAAGCACCGGCUAACUCCGUGCCAGCAGCCGCGGUAAUACGGAGGGUGCAAGCGUUGUUCGGAAUUACUGGGCGUAAAGGGCGUGCAGGCGGUUUGGCAAGUCAGAUGUGAAAGCCCUGGGCUUAACCCGGGAAGUGCAUUUGAAACUGCCUUUCUUGAGUAUGGGAGAGGAGAGUGGAAUUCCCAGUGUAGAGGUGAAAUUCGUAGAUAUUGGGAGGAACACCCGUGGCGAAGGCGACUCUCUGGACCAAUACUGACGCUGAGACGCGAAAGCGUGGGGAGCAAACAGGAUUAGAUACCCUCGUAGUC